AACAAACGUUUUUUCGCUAUGAUUAUUUUUUACUGUUGAACGUCUAUCUAGCAAUAUUUCCCCUUCUAACUUCUCGUAGGCAACUUGGUUUGUUUAUUUUCCUGUCGAAAUUUUACUCGUGAUCUUAGGAGCAAAUUUUUAUUGUUUGUAAGAAAAGUUCCCGUAAAAAAGUUAGGCGUGGAUAUAAAGAUCCAACUUGCUCAUGGAAAGUGCGAAAAUAUGUUUGCUAAUGGAGAGCUAACCUUCCAAAAAAAUUUGAAGUAUCAGCGCCAUAACGGAUUUUCAAUUUCCCAUAACGUCAAAAGUCGCUAAACUAGCGAUGAAUACCGGUAAGAUCGUGGCCCGCAAAAAAACUUACUUUAUUGCCUCGUAAAACGAUCACGCGCGCGCCACCGUCGCCCAAACUCCUUCCUUCUGGCGAGAAACUUCUCGUUAAAGCUCAUUUUGUAUGGAGCAAUGAUAUAUGUCGAGGCUUUAUACCGGUCGGCGUAAUGCCCAUAUCGAAUCUCUAAAAUCGCACAUACGAAAGUAUUUAAACACUUACCACGGAAAAAUUUGAUGUAUAUAUUCUGUGUGAAUACGUGUGUCAGGUUUGUAUCGUAUAACACACAUAAUACAAUCAUAAAGGAUUUCUACAAGUGUUCAAAUACGCGAACCACUGUACGUCGCUUCGAGAGAAGAUGUACGCACUUCUCCCAUUUUCGUAUUCUUCCUCGUAAGGAUAAUAGACGCGUGGUAUGCACGUUAAAGCAGCGUAUCACAUCUUCGAUUGUAAAGUCAAGAGAUCUCGUAUGGUGGCGUAUCGAUUACAAGGCGGCAGACACAUUGAAGUCGCAACGUAGAACAAAAAUAAUCGAUGGAGAAGGUGGGUAAAGAAGAUGAAAGAAAAGUAGGAAAGAAGAAAUUAACUACAAAUAGAAAGAAGGAGAACCUGAAGGGGAGAGGAAAGGAGAGAAAGAAAGGGAAAAGAAAAAAAAAAGAGUGAAUCCUCAUUCAGCCAAGAUGUGUGUAUGAACCAUAAAGAAUGCCCGUGGGGUAAGAAAAGAGGAGGCUGGCGCCAACCACCGCUACUUUGAAUGUUGCUUUUAUGGCGCAUACCGCGCCGAUCCAGCCGCGCGGAUACAUUAAUUGGUAUACGUACAGUGUACAGUGCGUGCCAGUGACAGCCACCAAUAGCCAUGGAGUAUCGCGACACGCCGUGCCGUUUCACCUUUCUACCCGUCGUUUCUAUACCUCUUAACCUCUCGAUUUAUGGAUAUUCGUUGCACAGGAUUUUAUACCAGCACGUUUCCUUACUAAUUUGUUUCUAUCUUACUCUCUUCGCAAUUGUACGAAGCGGCCAUCUUCUUUUUCUUUUGCAGCAUUUUCAAGUACAAAGUUCUUUAUGAAAAUCGGUUAUCACGCAACACAUAUAAAAACGAUUGCUGUUGAAUUAAAAAGUAAAUGGGAAAGAUGUUAUCGAGCUCUGAAGUCGUUGAAGAUUCCGUACACUGUACCGUCGGAAAGCCAUGUGGCUCAUGGCGCCUCGUUUCUUCUCAUCUCCCUCGCAUUAAGAGUCCAACAAGAUGCCAAAAAGGCUACACGUUUCUAACAAUUACGUCAAGCUUGAUACGCUGAUGCAUCCAACAUUGUUUGUAAAUCAUCAUGAAAGAUGACGCCAGGAAUGGCGCACGUUAGACAGCGCUAUAAAUUUAUUUAAUAAAUGGCGCUACUGGCAUCAAUUUCAGAUACUUUCUAUUUAUUUUUAAAAUGCAGUAAAUGUUACUUUCACAAGUCCCAUUGCAAAAAAUAAUAGGCUACCAUUUCCUAAAAUCGAGGGACGUAGAUUUUGGAUUUUACGGCAGCUGAACGUGACUAGAAGGAGCGUUACGGCCAAUUUAAUAGCUUUCACGCGAGAAUCGACACUACGCGGCUAAAAAAGAAUUCUAUCUUAAAAGGGAUAACUGUAUGAUGGUAAUCACGUCGACAGAGGAUUUAAAAAAAAAAGCUUCAACAAAGUUGCUGUAAUGAAUACACUUUUAAACGAUCUACCAUAAUACUCUGGACAGGGCCGUAUAUUAACCCAACGCUAAUUACGCGAUGCUCAUGCAUCUUUCGAUGUCUCGACCCUUCGUUGCUCUUCCCGAGAGAACGCGGGACAUUCAACAAGUUUCGUCAUUAUCCAAUGAAUGGAACUCCUUUCGCGUCUUCUGCCAACAUCCUGGACACGUUGUCGUCCGUUGUCCGAGCCGAUGAGAAUCGAUGUGACAGUCCAAUCGACGGGCUCACGGGUCACAGUUUCUUCUCGCGGGACAUAAAAGGGAGACGGCCGCGUAUUGGUAAUCGUAAGCGACUUCACCUUCCAUCAGCAGGGGGCAACAAGCCUGCCAGACGACGACGCGAACACGACCACGAUGACAACGGCUGAAGAAUGUAGGGGGAAAACAAAUUUCUGCGCGUUGAAACUUUAUACUCGUAAAUAACGAUAAGCGAUACAUCUUGAAACGGGGAAGAAUUGAUUCUAUCAGAUACGCAGGGAAUUUUUUACUUGCUUGCUGUAGAAGAUUGUAUAAUCUGUACUUCAGUGCUAUUUUCAUUGCAAACUUUUGAAUUGUUAUUUAUCUGAUCUAAGAGUACCAAUCGAAAUGGAUGGACACUAGGCAACUAUGAAAUUUUGUUAUCGCUAUAUAACCUGUUAUGACUUAUUAAUUAUUGUUUCAUAUGUUUUCAACUAUCUUUCUGUUCCUAGAAAUGGAUACUAUGACUUUUUUUUAAGGUGAGCGGAAAUAUUGCUAUAACGGGCUGGUUCUUGGGGCUUUGCAGCACCAUAUCGAGAUGACCUUUUCGAAUCUGGUUUUUCCGGGUACCAGCCAUGUCAGAUGGGUGGAAAUGAUACAUAGAUAUCUAAGGAACCUGUGAAUGAGAAACUUAAUGCAACUUGCGACUAAAUUGUUGAACGCGAUAAGUUAUUCGAGACAAAUAUGUGUCGCGCCUAACAUAGACAAAUUUCUCUAUACGGGUAUGCUCUCACAGCAUAUGUUUAUUAUUGGUCAGUGCAACACGAUGCCGUGCCCAUUUUCACUGCCCAUGUUCCGCCGUACGUUAAUUAGGAAAAAAAGAGGAAUUACUAUUCGUUUGUGAAUAAAGGUAGACGUAAAAAUGUUUUAGGGAUUUUUAUCCGCUGAGGUUGACCUGCCUGGAAUCUGGUACAAUUACGUCCGUGUUUUAAUCGCUUUCGAAUACGUAUAUGUCUAUUUCCUGCUCUUAAAAAUAUCGACUAAUAAACAAAUUAAAAAAACGGUUCAACCACCGACAUUUUUGAAAAACACACCAGUCCUCCCUCUCCCCCUAUGGAGGCAAUUUAAAGUAUGCGUGAUAGCAAGCAACGAGGGAGUGGUUGACAAAGAUAAUAAGAAAAAGGGGCUUGAGGGAGUGGAGGCAGACACGAAAUUAACGACGAUAAAGCAUGUCGGGAGGAUAAAGAGCAAUACAAGGAAAGACGAUAAGAGGUGAACACGAAGAGGCAGCAGUAGCCACGAGACGAUUGGUCAGCCUCAUUGAAAGAGGAAUGGUUUGCAAUGAUGCCCCUACCCCCCUGCUCCUCCCACACUGCUUCCCCCGCGACCUUCCAACCUUCCCACCAAGCCACGUCUCCUCGUCUAUUCUCAUUCCCGCGCGCGUUAUGCCCGAUCAUUACGUAUGCUAAUAUUUACAUUUAGAUUGCACGGCUUAAUCGAAGUGACGCCAUGCGGUAAUAUAGCCGGCGCCAUGGCGCUAAACCGUGGCGCCCGACCUAUCUCUUCUUUCUCUUUCUGCCUACCGACGACCACAUCUCUUCUACUCCUCUUCCUCUCGUCGUUCUCCAUUCUCUUCUUUUUUGCCUACACUGUCUCUCCUGCCGUUUCUUUAUCAUCGACCUUUUUUCCGCGCUGCUUUUUUCUUUACCGACCGUCCUUCCCGCCGCGUCGGUUACGCUUAAUUCGAUCUCUCUCACGGGUUGUUAUUUCGCUUAUCUGCCACACGCGGCUGUGUCCCACGGAACGGCCACGGGGUGGCACUAUUUGCGCUCAACAGAAAUCCGACCCGCCAUCUUCUCCCAAUUGACAUUAUUUGACAUAAUUUUUUCGUAGUUGGCAUUUGAGACGUUUUUUUCUUUUUUUUGCGCGACGGUGGAAUCGUAACAAGGAGAAUCGUAUCUUCGGUUAUGUUGGAAUAAUCAAGGUGCUGGAUAACUGGGCUACCGGUUAAAAACUUCCCUCUUUAAUUUCUCUUAAUGUGGAAGGAAAAGCCCCUCCUCCUGGCUCUGAUGUGAUAUUAUCUCAAGAGGAGAGGCUACUUGCCGCCUAUCUGGCCCUUUAUUUGUUGUAAAAAUGUAACAUUAGGUAUAAAAUAUAACAAUAGCAUCGUAAGUUUGUUAAUGGUGAUUAAGCAGUGGAACAAUUGAACUUACUAGUGCAAGAAUAUAAAAACAUAGCGCGCGUAUUCAUUACUGGCCUUAUUAUUAAGAAUAUCGACAUAUUCACGUUGCGAACGAGACGGCGCCACUCUGACGUUUGUAUCCUCAAUUAUUGAAAUAUUCGACCGUAAGUAUCGUAGAUGUCUAGUCAAGAUAAGUUCAAGGAAACAAGAAAUGCGGAAAGAUCGGUCACGUAGCGAAUCGUUCUCUGAAUAACAUAGUGUUUUGAAUGACAAAAAGCAGUAUGCGAACACUAGGCUCGUUAUGUAUGGUAAACAAACAGUAACGAUCUCAUCGAUACACUGUUAAUUCCACCUAAUUGUAAAUUUUACGUGGUUCUACCUUUCUUCUAGAGGCACCUGCGAAACUAGCGUCACUGCGCAAGCUCACGCUACGUACAACAUAAGAUGACAUACUCAUUCAUAAGAUCACGAUAGGAGAUUAACAUGACGAAAAUACGAAGGAAUUUGAUUAUGGGGAAAAUAAAUGAUAAAAAGAAAAUGGCGAUAUGAAGGAUCUUGUACGGCCGCGAUAAAGAAAUCUUCGGCUAGCCAGGAAUGGAAAUAGAAAGCACGCGGACAAUGACAGCAGGCUUGUCCAUGGUUAAUAAAUGUGAGCUCGCUAAUUGAUUCUAAGUAACCAAUAAAUUGCGCUGGCCGCAUUGUAAAAGUGGUUAUGGUGAACGUAUGCGUGUGGCCGAGCGUUAUCUUUCCGCUGGUGGUUUGUUCGUUUUUCCCUCCCAAGAUCGCCUGCGCCUGUCGGCCGGCGCGUUAUCAUAAAAGCCCGCGCUUUUCCUCGCUCGUUUAAAAAUGGCGGUCUCAAUCGACGCUUCUCGCCAAUGGUAAUAUGGUAAAAUGGUAAUAUGGUCAUCGCGGUAUCGAGUAGAAUACCGCGAGGAUAUCUUGAAACAUCGUCCCUGCUAUCAAGAAUUUUUUAGGCAAUCGUUCAGAGCUACAUUUUGUUGAAUAUUGAUAUCAAUGUUUUAUAGAAUUCAAUUAGGUUAUCGAAUGGAAUGGACUAUGAAGGUUCACUACACAAGGUUUUUUCUAUUCUGCAAUAAUAAAACACGGAAUUCUCGGUAUUUAUGGACUACGAACUAUUUCUUUUUAUAAAAGCCUCAAAGUUACUUUACAUGCAACAACGACUUCUGCUCGCAUAGAUUAUCUCAUACAUCGGUUGAACACGACACUUGUGAUAAUUAUCGUUAUAAUUAUGGUAACAGAUAAAUAAAUAUUAAUAAUUAAUCAGCAUAAAUAAUCAAAUAAUGCUAUUGCUUUUUACAAAUCUGCGUGCGUUGUUUAAAGAUCAUUUUAUUGUUUACGAAACGACUCGGAAUUUUAUAAAACUAAACAGUCAUUUGAAUCUCAUUUAACUCGUUUCAUCUUCUUCUGUCUUUUUAUUAUCAUUCUCGUUUCAAACGUUUUGUAUAUGUAGAUCUCUAUUAUAUCUUUAGUUCAUAGAAAACAACAUAUAAACUUAAUAUCAAAGUUCUCAUAUAUUGGGUUGGCAACUAAGUGAUUGCGGAUUUUGUCAUUAAGCGGUAUUGACAAAUCCGCAAUCACUUAGUUGCCAAACCAAUAUCUUCCAUUUACCAAUAAUUCGAUUUAUCAUCGAGCCAAUAUGUUAAUAGAGCCGCUAUAUUUGUAAAAAGCUCACUAUUAGGUCAGAAUUCCGUUUAUAAGAGAGCUAAAUCCUUAACCUUUAUUUCCAAGUAGCCAAUGUAUUUCCACCUAAAAGCAAGAGGAAUGGGCACAGGUAUUUCAAUCAGUUCAUUUAUUCCAUCCGCAUUCUAUGGUAAUUAACGGCGAUAUAGGAAUCCAUUGAAGAAAGAAAGGAGCCAAGUAACCGUACAAAGAAUUUGGCCCGUGCUAUUCAAGUGAAAGUUGCACAUUUUAGAAAUACUUUAUACCGCAACGUUUAUUGAACGAGAAACAAAAGAUAAAACUCUUGAAUUGUGUCCUAUAGAUAUAGCUAUAUUCUAAUCAUGUAACUUGUAUUUUUUUAUCAAAUAGUACUCGAUAUUUCCGGUCCUGAUUUCGAUAUCUGCAAGUCGGUCACCUAUGAUGCAAGAAGAGCAUUACCAAGGGACAAUGAGGGUGACAUGCAUUUAUGUCAUCUGUGUAUGACUCAUAGAACUUAUAGUAUAACCAGACAAACAAUUCCUUGAUAAGUAUUAGUCUAAAUUGUUCCUUUGUCACCUCGUUAUUCUUUAAAAUAGGCUUAUAGAUCUGAAUUAAGAAUAGAAUGGGAUAAAGGAUAUUAUGAAUUAAGAAUAAAAUUAGAUAAAGGAGAUAAGCAUGUAAAUCUUUUGCAACACUUUAUAUUGUUGCAUGUAAGAGAUCGUAUACGUUGAAUUGUACUCGAGAAUGAAACUAGUAAAAACCAAGUUGAUAUUGUGAUUACAAUUAUAACAUUUAUGAAAGGAAAAAAGGCAAGGCAAAGCUAGGGCAUCUUUCUUGGCAAAGAAAAGUAGCAAGUUGAAGUCUCUUAUUUUGCAGUACUCGAAAAAAAGCUGCAUAUGCGCGUUAAUCUGCUAAUCCCUAAUAAGAGUACUCGAGCAUUGAGGCGAUAAUAAAACUGAAGCCACCAGGCGAUAACGGUCAAUCAUGAUUACAUGGCAUUGCAAAUACGAUUAUCGGAUCGAUCGGACCGAUAGAGAGACGUUCGAAGAAGCGACCGAGGAAGUGUUAAGAAGAAAAAGAGAAUCCUCUAGAAGGCGAGAAAGACAACGACACAGACAAAAGAGGCAGUGAUCAUUGAUAAAUGAUUUAUGCAAGCCACUUGACUCUCAUUAAUAUCUCCCGUCACUCAAUAUAUUGGAUCUAUAUCUUCUGUAAGCGCUAAUCGUUACAAGUUUGCUGAUAGUUAUUGAGCAUCUUUCAUUUUUAACCUUUUUUGAUCGUCAGUACAAUUAUGGUAACUGGCAAAUCGUAAAAGUUUCAGCAGCCUAUACAUUUCAGAUUAUUUCUCACAGAGAUCAGUAUUCUGAUCAAUGAUAUUGUGAUACUAGCGCCUCUGUUGGCAGAUUCUUUUGUUUCAAACAUAACCUAGCAUUAAGAACAGUAACGUAUGAAUGUUGACGAUACAACAAAGUCUUCGGAUCAUAUAAUAGCAAUAUUCUUAUCUUGGAGAUACCGUUGUAUUAAAUAAGGAUACUACUAUAUGUGCCACAAGUGCAAGGAGUGUUCAAUAACACGUCUACAUGGAGGUCAGCACAAGUGCCUACAUCUGCUGCUUUUUCUCAAAUACAAUGGAUCCAAUAUCAAGUGUAUGCAAAGAAAAAUAUGCUGUUACUUACUAAAGUCUCCAGGACAAGAUUUGCAACACCUGCCUGGAAGGAGAACUGGCUCUUUGCACCGAGUUUCUCCAUCAGCCUGUUCAUACUACUGGACACGUUCGCGGUGACGUUUGAAAGUGUGAUUGUAAUGUUUUCGAACCUGUAAACGUGCUUACAUGUUUAUUACUCCUUUACGCAUCGCUGACGACGACAGUUGCAACGUUUACAUGCACGGCGUGCAUAAAUCUAUCGUCAAGUAAUUGAUGUCUUACUCGAGCUCCACUGUGUUGUUCUUUACGAUGCAUUCAUAGCUCGAUGGUACAUGCACGAUUCAAUUCAUGAACAACGCACAUUCGUCUAGAAGAAACAUUCCUUACUUGUUCAUUUUCGUACAGGAAUAUAUAUAAUAUAUUUAAUAGUAUAUAUAUAAUAGUAUCCAUUGAAAUUUCCUGAUGAUAACGAAGGAACAUGAUCGUAAUUAUAAUUUGUGAUCAAAUAUCAUAAAAGGUUAUGCGAGAUUUCAAUACAUAGGCGUAGACGGAGACAAAACUAAAUGAUCAGAUAAUGGAUCUAGGUAUCAAUGACGUUUAAUCAAACUGGAACUAUUAUUAUCUGCUUAAGUUCUAUUUGUUAUAUAUUCUUGUAGCACACGCGUAGAUUACUUAAUAAGUAAACGAAAUUAGUUUCCACA